GAUUAAGUUAUUAAGGGCGCACGGUGAAUGCCUUGGCACUAGAAGCCGAUGAAGGACGUUACUAACGACGAUAUGCUUUGGGGAGCUGUAAGUAAGCUAUGAUCCAGAGAUUUCCGAAUGGGGGAACCCAACACGAGUUAUGUCGUGUUAUCGACAUGUGAAUUCAUAACAUGUCAGAAGGUAGACCCGGAGAACUGAAACAUCUUAGUACCCGGAGGAAUAGAAAGAAAAUUCGAUUCCCUGAGUAGCGGCGAGCGAAACGGGAAGAGCCCAAACCAAUGAGCUUGCUCAUUGGGGUUGUAGGACACUCUAUACGGAGUUACAAAUGUAUUUGUUAGACGAAGUAGUUGGAAAGCUACAUCAAAGAAGGUAAUAAUCCUGUAGUCGAAAAUGAAUACACUCUUGAGUGGAUCCUGAGUACGACGGAGCACGUGAAAUUCUGUCGGAAUCUAGGAGGACCAUCUCCUAAGGCUAAAUACUCUCUAGUGACCGAUAGUGAACCAGUACCGUGAGGGAAAGGUGAAAAGUACCCCGGAAGGGGAGUGAAAAAGAACUUGAAACCGUGUGCUUACAAGUAGUCAGAGCCCGUUAAUGGGUGAUGGCGUGCCUUUUGUAGAAUGAACCGGCGAGUUACGAUCUGAUGCAAGGUUAAGCAGUGAAUGUGGAGCCGUAGCGAA
rnacentral:rRNA from 1 species